rnacentral:rRNA from 1 species
GAUGAACGCUAGCGGCAGGCCUAACACGUGCAAGUCGAGGGGUAACAGAGGUAGCUUGCUACUUGCUGACGACCGGCGCACGGGUGCGUAACGCGUAUACAAUCUACCUUUUGCUAUUGGAUAGCCCAGAGAAAUUUGGAUUAAUACAAUAUAGUAUCAUAUUACUGCAUGGUAUUUAUGAUUAAAGAUUACGGCAGAAGAUGAGUAUGCGUCCUAUUAGUUAGUUGGUGUGGUAACGGCACGCCAAGACUACGAUAGGUAGGGGCCCUGAGAGGGGGAUCCCCCACACUGGUACUGAGACACGGACCAGACUCCUACGGGAGGCAGCAGUGAGGAAUAUUGGACAAUGGAGGCAACUCUGAUCCAGCCAUGCCGCGUGCAGGAAGACUGCCCUAUGGGUUGUAAACUGCUUUUAUACAGGAAGAAACACUCCCUCGUGAGGGAGCUUGACGGUACUGUAAGAAUAAGGAUCGGCUAACUCCGUGCCAG